AUUUCAUAGGCUUACAGCAUUUCUCAACUUGGCCUUCUCUUUAUCAUUUUCUCUCUUUAUCAUUUUUUUUUUAAAAGCUUGAUUAAUUUUCAGUUUCUUCAAAGAAAAUUUUUUAUUCAAACAACAAUUUUAUUUUGAUGUACAUGUUGUUUCAGUGCUAUGAAGCAAUUGAAGAACAUGAAAAACAAUUUGGAUUUUCAGGGACAUUGUCCGCUUUCCACAUUUUUGUCUCCAAAUUACUUUCCAACAAUUCAGUACGCGGGAUUCUCACUGUCGUGGCCUCUCCCGUUG